rnacentral:rRNA from 1 species
CCUACGGGGAGCAGCAGUGAGGAAUAUUGGUCAAUGGGCGCUAGCCUGAACCAGCCAAGCAGCGUGAAGGAUGACUGUCCUAUGGGUUGUAAACUUCUUUUAUAUGGGAAUAAAGUCAAGUAUGUAAACUGCUCUGCAUGUACUUUAUGAAAAAGUAUCGGCUAACUCCGUGCCAGCAGCCGCGGUAAUACGGAGGAUCCGAGCUUUAUCCGGAUUUAUUGGGUUUAAAGGGAUCGUAGGCGGGUUGUUAAGUCAGUGGUGAAAGUUUGCGGCUCAACCGUAAACUUGCAGUUGAUACUGGCAGCCUUGAGUACAGUAGAGGUAGGCGGAAUUCGUGGUGUAGCGGUGAAAUGCUUAGAUAUCGCGAAGAACGCCGAUUGCGAAGGCAGCCUGCUGGACUGUAACGGACGCUGAUGCUCGAAAGUGUGGGUAUCAAACAGGAUUAGAUACCCCUGUAGUC